AUUGAAUUGAACGAGAACAUGUCUUCCUGUUUCCCCGUAGCCAGAUGUUUGUGCUCUGUGCACCAGCGCUCACAUUGAGAACGUUUUGUUGGUGGGAGCCAUCACCCAAAACGAGGAGUUUGGAGAGUGCGCACUGUGUCAAGUGGCUGCGGAGGCGGGUGCACAUUGGAGAACACCCAAACGGAUGAAACGGACCAAAACGGACGUGCUGCUUCACAGAGACAAACGCAGUAGAUUCAGCCGGGUCGAAAAGCAGAGGACACGAGCCACAGGCCACACUUCACAGGCUCUGUUUAAUGUGGUCAUGGAGGAGCAAAGCAGUUGCCAUCGCGUUGCCUUCCAGGGAAAUAUCAGCGCUCUGCAACUCUCAGCUCAGCGGAGGGAUUAGCCCGGCCUUGGAUUUAAAAGGGGUGGGGGCGCGUUUUUACCCUACAGGGGGUGGCAUGUUUCUAUUUAUGGCGCGAGCUGCAUGAACUCAAGAUUGGUGUCUGCAGGCGUCCGCUGGAGAGUCUCGGGCCCCUAUUUUUGACAACAAAAAAAAAUCAAAAUGCCGCGGUUAAAAAACGUGCAUCAGCACAAAAUGAGCCACUCGCAGGUUUUCUGACGUCGCUGACGUGCGUUUGUUUCAUCCACCCAGCGUCAUGAAAGAAAACCCUUUUCUAGUUAAGCUCUUCUGAGAUCAUCGGCUCCCCGGGGCCCCGAUGAGACUUCCACCAAUCGUGCCACAGAGAAGUGGCGAUUGCCCAAUUACACCCCAGCUGUCCACGC
ensembl:lncRNA